rnacentral:rRNA from 1 species
UACGAAGGGGGCUAGCGUUGUUCGGAAUCACUGGGCGUAAAGCGCACGUAGGCGGAUCGUUAAGUCGGGGGUGAAAUCCCGAGGCUCAACCUCGGAACUGCCUUCGAUACUGGCGAUCUUUGAGUCCGGGAGAGGUGAGUGGAACUCCGAGUGUAGAGGUGAAAUUCGUAGAUAUUCGGAAGAACACCAGUGGCGAAGGCGGCUCACUGGCCCGGUACUGACGCUGAGGUGCGAAAGCGUGGGGAGCAAACAGG